GGAGGUAUGGCAGAGCGGCCGAAUGCACUCGCCUUGAAAGCGAGCGUCCCUAACACGGACCGGGGGUUCAAAUCCCUCUACCUCCGCAA
rnacentral:tRNA from 1 species